rnacentral:sRNA from 1 species
GAUCGAAUAUAUCGACGUGAGAGUUAGUUAGAACUAUUAAAUCGGAAUACUAGCUGGUCUAGGAUCCAUAUUUGUAGGGAAACGGCUCA